rnacentral:rRNA from 1 species
UACGGAAGGUGCAAGCGUUGCUCGGAAUCACUGGGCGUAAAGGGCGCGUAGGCGGCCGAUCAAGUCAGAUGUGAAAGUCCUGGGCUUAACCUGGGGACUGCAUUUGAUACUGAUUGGCUUGAAUGCAGGAGAGGAUAGCGGAAUUCCCAGUGUAGAGGUGAAAUUCGUAGAUAUUGGGAAGAACACCGGUGGCGAAGGCGGCUAUCUGGACUGUGAUUGACGCUGAGGCGCGAAAGCGUGGGGAGCAAACAGG